rnacentral:rRNA from 1 species
AGAAUCAACGCUGGCGGCGUACCUAACACAUGCAAGUCGCACGAGAAAGUGGAGCAAUCCACGAGUAAAGUGGCGCACGGGUGAGUAACACGUGAAUAAUCUACCUCCGAGUGGGGAAUAACUGAGAGAAAUCUUAGCUAAUACCGCAUAACACUUACGAGUCAAAGCAGCAAUGCGCUUGGAGAGGAGUUCGCGGCCGAUUAGUUAGUUGGCGGGGUAAUGGCCCACCAAGACGAUGAUCGGUAUCCGGCCUGAGAGGGCGCACGGACACACUGGAACUGAAACACGGUCCAGACUCCUACGGGAGGCAGCAGUGGGGGAAUUUUGCGCAAUGGGGGAAACCCUGACGCAGCAACGCCGCGUGGAGGAUGAAAUAUCUUGGUAUGUAAACUCCUUUCGAUGGGGAAGAUAAUGACGGUACCCAUAGAAGAAGCCCGGCUAACUUCGCGCCAGCAGCCGC